UACGGAGGGUGCAAGCGUUAUCCGGAUUCACUGGGUUUAAAGGGUGCGUAGGUGGGCAGGUAAGUCAGUGGUGAAAUCUCCGGGCUUAACCCGGAAACUGCCAUUGAUACUAUUUGUCUUGAAUACUGUGGAGGUCGGCGGAAUAUGUCAUGUAGCGGUGAAAUGCUUAGAUAUGACAUAGAAUACCUAUUGCGAAGGCAGCUUACUACGCAGAUAUUGACGCUCAUGCACGAAAGCGUGGGGAUCAAACAGG
rnacentral:rRNA from 1 species